UCUCUGGCACCAGCUCAAUGGCUCUAGUGUAGGUGCAAAUUGGUUUUCCUGUUUUGAAACCAUGUUCCAAAAUAGCUUGUAAGGGGCCAGAAAACUUCAAAUGUAUACUAGCAAUGCCCAGAGUUCUAACAGAAUUCUGAGUGCACGAAUACAAAUAAGCACACGACCUCCUCAGGUCUCACUGCCCAACUCUGAUGGCAGCUUGAAUGGGCUCCACAAUUCGUAAAAACUCUCAGGAGGAGAGGUUGGGCUCAUUUCUUCUAUUUAGCCACAAUAAAACACAUUAAGAAUGGUGGUGAUUUAAGACAGAUUUGCUGGGAGUGUCUGGCAAUUGUUCAUCAUCGUUGAUGCUUUUUAUCUGCAAAGUUUUUGUCAUCCUUGCCCCAUCUCCCAGUGCACCCCAUUUCGUUCUUGAGGGGGCACUUCUGGCAACAACAACGAUGAGGCAUCUGAGAUUGUCAGCUGCUCUCUCAGUUAUCGGUGGAAUUUCACUUGUUUGAGUUUUCUUAUUUGUGCACAUCUUGAUUUGGUUAUACAUGCCCCAAUUUCUUUCAGGCCUUUGCAGAUUUGGCCAUGAUGGACUUAUAGCAUUUAUUUUAGAAUUGCUUUUAAAAUACGGAUCAUAAAUAGUUUCUGAAGCAUUCAACAGAAGGACAUGUUGUUCCCUGUUUGUAUCACGAUGUCAUGUUGGAUUGUCAUUAAUAAUUGGUUUGCAUCAUCCAUGUGCUACUACCCCCACUUUCCAAGGGUAAUAAUUUUGACAUUAUUUUUAGUCCAUCUACAUAGUUCUGAAAACAACCAAGAAGAGGAGGAGUAUUCUUUUAAAUGACAUUCUUUCUGAGCAGGGGCUUAUCAUCCAUCUGUGUUCACAAAGAAUGAAGUGUUCUGUUGUUUAUCCCUGAUGCUGCAACACUGGAACAUUCUUCAUAGCUCUGAAUCAUGCCAGAUGGUGACAGGGAAAUUGUCAUAGAAACUUGGGACCACAAAUGCAUUGGUAGUUGAGGCUGGGCAACACUGGAGACCCAUUUGGAUGCUUCCAUGGGAGUGGUGUCCUGGAAGAGAGGCAAAGACCACCUUCACCACUGGAGCAAACCAUUGACAGCAGCAUGGAAGCUCUGGCCUCUGAACAUAGGACAAGGCAUUUCCAAGCAUGUUCUGCUCUAUGAAGGUCAGGACUCGUUCUCUUUUCCUGUCUGCAUCUUCAGCACCUAGCACAGUACCCAGCCCCAAAGGGUGCUGAAUGGAUGAUGGAGUAAGGAACAUUCUGGAGUGUGAUGAGGGCCACUAGGUAACAGCACCUCUAAUUCAUGGGUACCUUGGUCACUGAAAAGAACUAAGGAAUGCCUGCAUAAAAAUCUGUACAAGGAUGCUUAUAGUAGCUUUAUUCAUAAUUUCCAAAACCUGAAGGCCACCAAGAUGUUCUUCAGUAGAUGAAUAAAUGAACGUGGUACAUCUAGGCAAUGGAAUAUUAUUCAGCACUAAAGAGAAACAAGCUGUUAAUCCACGAAAAGACAUGGAGGAUAUUUAAAUGCACAUUACCAGGUGGAAGAAGCCAAUCUGUACGUGUGAUUCUGACUAUAUGCCAUCCUGGAAAAGGCAAAACUAUUGGGACAGUAAAACAAUCAUUGUUUGCCAGGGGUGACAGGGGGCAGGUGGGUGCGGAGGGAUGAAUACAUGGACCACAGAGGAUUUUUAGGGCAGUGAAACUACUCUGUAUGCUGUAAUAAUGGUGAAUAUAAGUCAUUAUAUACUUGUCCAAACCCAUUGAAUAUAUAACACCAAAAUUGAACAUUAGUGUAUA